UAGUGGGUUUCAGCUGAGUGGCCCAUCUCAUAAUAAUCCAUCCGGCCUCAUUCCAAAGUCCAAACUGAUUCAAUUCUCGAGUCUUGUCAAGAACCGCCGGGUGUUCUCAGAUCUUUCACUCUGUAACUCCUUCCCGAAAUUAUAAUUUGCUUGAAAUUCGGUUGGAUAUAUAUAUAGCGGUUACAUUCUUGGUGGGCUUAGAUGCUCUGUGGCUUGUGUUUAUAUUCAGGUAAUUCAUUUGUUUUUGCAUUUUUUGAGCAAUUAAACCCUCAUUUUGCAUUUGUUAAACCCUUUUAAUUGCUGUAUAUAUGUACUGUUUUAUCAGCUUGUUUGAAGCUGAUUUGGGGUGUGAAUUUAGCUCAUUUUGAUUCGUAUAGACAUUGUUGGAUAUAUUAAUUUGAUUCAGUGAGUGUUUAAGUGAUUGUGGUGAUUUUGGUUUGAUGGGUUUUUUGGUAUGUGGUUAAAGAUUAGACAUUGAUGAGUUUUAGACAAAAUGGGUGUACUUCACUUCUUGAUUGACUCAUGCCAUGUUCACUGUGGCUCUUUUUGGGAAAAGGGUUGUGCAAAGUAUGUACAUUUUUUGUGGAAUUUCGCGUUCUUUUUGCGGGUUUAGUGCGAAUAGUGAUGGAUUACAUGAUGGGUUUAGACGGGUGGAGGAGCAUUUGAAUUUGGAUGGAAAAGGUUGUGAUUUUGGUUUGGGGUCGGAUGAGGAACCACUUUUUUCUUCGGGGAGGAGGUUCUUUGAGCAAGCAAGAUGUGAUGCUCAAAGGGCCGUUGAGGUUCUUUUUCGGGAUGGUCCGACAUUUGAUGCAAAAGAAGCUUUGGAUGAUAUGGAGAUACGGAUUUCGGAAGUUCUUGUGAGGGAAGUUUUAUUUAUGAUUUUGACUGAUAUUAAUAAUGCAAAUAAGAGUAGGAAUGCAAGACUGGGAUAUACGUUCUUUAUAUGGUCUAGUCAACAAGGGAACUAUAGUCAUACAGUAUAUGCGUACCAUCUGAUGAUGAGGAUUUUUGCAGAAUCUAAUGAAUUAAAGGCAAUGUGGAGAUUAGUUGAUGAGAUGAUUGAGAGAGGAUGUCCAACCACAGCACGUACAUUUAACAUUGUAAUUUGUACUUGUAGUCGAGCAGGCUUAGCUAAGAAAGCUGUAGAGAGAUUUAUAAAAUCAAAGAACUUUUAUUUUAGGCCGUUUAAACAUUCCUUUAACGCAAUCCUAUGCUCCCUGCUUGCAGUAAACCAGUACAAGUUGAUUGAGUGGGUGUAUCAGCAAAUGUUAGUUGAAGGUCAUUGUCCUGAUAUUUUAUCUUACAAUGUCCUCAUGUCUGCAAAAUAUAGGCUGGGAAAGUUUGAUGAAUUUCAUGGUUUAUUAGAUGAAAUGGCUAGGAAUGGCCUUUCUCCAGAUUUUCACACAUACAACAUUAUUCUUCAUGUCCUUGGGAGAGGGGAUAAACCAGAAGCAGCAUUUAAUCUUUUGAAUCACAUGAAGGAAAUUGGUAUUGAGCCAACUGUCCUUCAUCUUACCACAUUGAUAGACGGUCUAAGUCGUGCAGGAAAUUUGGAUGCCUGCAAGUAUUUUUUUGGUGAAAUGAGGAGAUAUGGAUGUAUGCCUGAUGUUGUUUGUUACACUGUCAUGAUUACAGGAGUAAUUGUUGCAGGAGAUCUAGCUUCAGCUGAGGAACUGUACAAGGAUAUGAUUAACGAUGGACAGGUCCCAAAUGUCUUUACCUACAAUUCAAUAAUACGUGGGCUCUGUAUGGCAGGGAGGUUUAAGGAUGCAUUGCAUAUUUUAGAAGAAAUGGAAAUCAAGGGAUGUAGUCCAAAUUUCCUUGUGUACAAUACCUUAGUUAGAUGUUUAAGAAAUGCUGGAAAGCUGUCUGAAGCUCACAAGGUUAUACGAAUUAUGGUGGAAAAGGGCAAGUAUGGCCAUCUUAUUUCGAAACUUAAAAGACAUAGGAGACAACGAGGUGGUUAGCUAAGUACACUAUAUAGUAGCCACUUGUCAGUUCUCGUCAGCAUUCUAGCUAGAUUGACAGCUCUGACUCUCUUCUUUGGUGUACAAUGUAGCAACUUCUCUCAGGGGAAAUGUGUAUUAUGAUUUUGAGCUUCAGCAAAUUUGUCAUUGAGGUCAGUUACCUAUCAGUACUACAUACCAGUAUAGUUACUAGUAUGAGCUUCAGCAAAUUUGUUGUUGUGGUAAGUUCCCUAUGAAUACUACAUACUGGACUACUUACUAAUAUGAACAAACGAGACUACUCUUCGUAAAACUUCUACUUAAUCUAGCCUCAUCCCGCCAAAUCACAAGGCCAAAUGGAAUGCCAGAGUUGAAGAUGACAGGUUAGAACUUACCCUGGUAGGAAUUCUUGCUUUGUAACAUGCUGCUGGUUUCUUCGUUUUACAUUACAGGAAUAUAUUUAUACCUUUGUGAUGGAGCGCUUUGUUAGAGAGUAAUAAGUUGAAUGGCUUGAUCGAGGUCGGAGAGCUAAUACUGGUUGAAAUGCCUAUGUGGGCACCUGAGUAAAGAAUACUGUCCUAUUUUGAAAGAAGUUUGGUGGAUAUAGAAAGCCAGGAUUCUAAUAAGGUUUAUGCAAUUAUAAUAUGGAAU